rnacentral:SRP_RNA from 13 species
CGCCCCUGUGCCCGACCUGGCCUUCACUCGGGCACCGUUCGCAAUGGUCGGGUUGUUCUCCCGAGGCCGCGCGUGCUUGGACGUUGCGGAGAGCUUGUCCACCGAGCCGGAGGGGAGCUUG